rnacentral:sRNA from 1 species
CUUUAAAAAAGACAUGGUGGCGCAGUAUUCUAGUCAGUACUAAUGGCUCUGAAGACGGGCCUAAAAAUCCGUUAAAGGGCACAUCGAUGAAGUUCCUUGUGUCGGCUUGCUACGCCCAGUGGUGGGCUGGUGCUGGGAGUUAAGGCUUAGGGGCGAUCCGCAAUGGCAUGCGGGCGUAGACCCCUUUUCCGUGGAGACCCUGACUUGUGGAUGAAAAGUUAAGCACCUUGCUUACCACCUCAUCUACGAUAAGGGAUUAAACCUGUUAUGCGGUAUCGCAAGAUGCUGUGAACAGAGUAGCCUGCCGUGAGUGAAAUUUGGUGGAUAGUGGAUCGGAUGCUUAAUGUAUUGGCCGAUAUAUGAGCAUUAUUGCUGCUUGAAACCUUUUUUGCAAAAGAGGCUAGGAGUCAUUUUGACUGUUGGGGAAAACCCCUAGACUGUUCUAUAUGUGGUUUAUUGGGGAUUAAAGUGUGGACUAAGUGGUAAUCAGGCCUCAUACUUGGCAACAAUAUGGAGAUGCGUUUAAUGGGAAACCUCUGGUUUGGCGACAUUCCAGCAUGCAUCUGGGAAACCCUGCCUGACCUAAGCCGCAAAAUUUACUCAGUAGACUGCCACCUGUUUUCUAUAUAUU